GCCGCCCAGAUAGGCUGCGUGGCAGCCACGGCGCGAGCGAAACUCCUUGGAUGCGUCGGAAGUAAGCGCCGGGAGCAUUUUGUGAUCUUUGUGGGAGGAAGGCACAAGCCACCCAGGCCCCGUUCCCUCCAUCUUGAGCCUUCCAUGGUGAUUUGCAGCAGCACAGGGAAGUAUGAAGCACUGAGGGACAGAAGUCAGUGUUUAAACCUGACUUCACUUCAGCGUUAACGACCACACAAGUUUCAGAUAACAGAGGACCAGGGGUAGAAUAGCAGAAGCACUUAAGGUGCCUCAUUUAAAAGUUGUCUUUUGCAUAUCUAAAGAUUAGGGAGCUGUUCAGAAAAGAUGAUUAUACAAGUGUUUUUAUUUACUGUCCUAACAGAAGAUGAUGAACCGCAUUACCUUACAUGCAUCUUGGAUGCAUCUGUAUUACUACCAUAUAGAUUUCUGGGGACCUACAUUGAUUUAAGUUAGUAAAGAAGCCCAGUGAAGUUUUAAAUAAUCGGAAUAAUAUUCUCCCUCUCUUUCAGUCAGAUUUGCCCUUCAUGUUCCUUGUGUUUCAUAAUCCUCCUAGCUCUCCAUUUCGUCAUUACAAGACCAGCAUCUCUACUGUAAAAGAAAAAAAAAAAAAAAACCAGAAAGAGAGAGGACCCCCCCCCCCCCAGAAAAAAAAAAAGUCUUUUUACAAUCUGCUAUUUAGAUCAAUGUUUAAAUAAAUUCAGGGCACAAAGUGAUCCUGGUUUUUAAUAGGCCUAUUUAGUUUCAUUUACUUACACAGAUAUUUUUUUGGAACCAGAAGCUCUCAGGAAGAGAAUGUGUUCAAUGCACCAAUACCCUUUAGGAUUUUAAUGAAAGACAGGAUAUCAUGAGUAUCAUCACCACUUCUGUUAUUCUUCUUAUAUAGUAGCGACAAGAUUGAAUCACCAUUUUUAGCUAUUCUUCAGCAGAACUCGUAAUCUAUCAAUGUGUCAGCUCAACAGCAGUUUUCUCUUCACACUAAUGUGAACCAGAAGGUCCGGCUAUCACUGAUUUUGACAUUUUUAUCUGAGAUUGCAUGUAUUGCAGAAGUUUGAAAUAGAUGAAUUAUAGGGCCUAUUACAUUUUCAUAAAGACGUACAAAACAUAGAAUACAUCAUCUAAAACAUUUCAAACUAUUUUAUACCGGAAAACAUUCCUGUGCUUGGUGUUUCAUAAGCCUUCUGCUCGAAGCACUAUUAAAUAUUUGUCUGAUAAAUAACAAGGAUGAGAUCAAGUGUGGGUCCUGCAGUUUUUUAAUGCCUCACAUUGCCCUCUCUGUUGUUACAUAAUGCAUCAUAAAGAAAUACGUGCCUUCAUUCUCUUUAAAUCACUCCGGCAUGGAUAGUACUAAGCCUUCCUUCAAGUCCUCGUUAUGCAAGUCCUUGCUGCUGCUAAUAGCUGUCAGCUCUGCAUGGUUACUUAAAAAACAAGGUAACUGCAGACUUUUUGUGAAGUUCCUUGCAUUUCUGGAAUUUUCAGUGAGGUGAUUCCAGGUGUGUUGCUCUCUUUUUCAGCUACAAACUAAGUUAUUACAAACAAACAGGUUUUCCCCCAUUAGAAUAAAGUCCCGUUCAUUCCAGAACAUCAGAACGUAACUUAUUUUUUUGUUUAGUUGCCUCUAUAAGCACGUUAUGAGUAUCUUAAUGCACUUCAGUGUCAAAACAGUGGAAUAGGUCAGAAUGCAGUAAUAUUUUGAAUGUCUGUUGGAGAAUGCAGGUAUAUAAGUACUGAAAAAAUACAUAGCACAGUAAAAAAUCCAUGACCAAUCUAGCAAAGCUGUUAGGUAACAAAAAAUCCAUAUAGGCAUUAAGUACUAUUAUUUAAAGUAAAAUCUGUGUUAUACAGUAUAAGCAGCAUUCAAGUGAAAAUGAUGAGACAUCUAUAUAGAACAGAAAGUGUAAUUUUUAAAGCUAUGAUAUGACGUUCUGUAUUUCUUUACUUUGAAAGUGGAAUUUUACUCGUCAUUCUGUAAAGGUAUAAAAUUAACAACAAGCACUUCAGGGAAUUAAGAAUGCUGCCUGAUUUGUGGAAUUUUUUUUCCCUCUGUAAAACACAGAGAUCAUUGGCGGCAAAAAAAUCAGGAAAAACCUGUCUGGGUUUUCCAAUAUCAUGUAGAUCUUGUCGAGUAUGCUGUCUUUUAGGAUGGCCUUGGUUUUAAAGAGACUGAAAUAGGAAUAUCUCAAAAUUCAUCAUACUGACUAUACUUAAAAAUAUUUUCUCUUCUUUUUACUUGUAUGAUAUGCAGGUAGUAACUCAGUGAUGUGUCACCAGGAAAGGAGGGUUUGUUUCAUAUUCCGUUAGCAGAUCGAUUAGUUUAACAAUCCUUUAUUGCAUUUCUACAUUUCUUUACCUUUUUUGUUGCUUUUGUAAAUUUGAGGUACUAGCUUAUUUGUUUAUUUCCAUUUUCCUACUUCUAAUUAUUUUGAAAGUUCAGCUAUAAUUUGUUCAGAUUUUGGUAUGACACAUGGAAAAUAUUUUUUUUUAAUUCCUUUUGCAAGCAGUAGGUUGGUGGGAGGAGGUCUGCACUGUAAAACAGUGUACCUAUGAAAUUGUACUCCAGUGGGAGAUUAAAUAAGAAGGAGCAGGAUGACUGAGACAAGUCAUUUGUCACAGAUGUUCAUGCAGUUCUGAUGUUUUAUUUUAAGCUGUAUUCAUCAAACGUGCUAAGGAGUAAUUUCUGUCUGAUAUGAAGUUCCCAUCAAAGGAGACUAAGUGAUUUAAGUUUAAACUGUGGUUUGAAAAUACAGGGAAAUGUUACUGGACCGGUGACAGUUUGAUUCGGUAGCCAAAGUGGACACAAGGAAGUAAAUUGAAGAAUGCUAUUUUUGGCCUAAAAUACGUCAGGAAAAUACACCACUAAUAUGUUACUGUGAGGCAGUGACUUUACCUAGAAGAUGGUUUUAUCUAUGAAGCACAAAGAUUUUACUGCAUCUGAAUUAUGUCAAUUAUAAAGGGUACCGACGCCGUGGGAGAGCAAGCAUGAAAUGGUGAUCUGUGAACCUCAGAUAUUUGAGCAACAUUUACUGACCACUUUUACAGUAUUUUGCAAGUUUAUUAUAUAGGUUUAGUAUUAGUUUUAUUUAGUGCCAAUGGAGGAGGUAAGCACUAGCGUAAUACCGAAUUUGGGUUUUUCAGAUAGGCCAAUUAUCAUAUUUAGUAAAGUACAAUAUGAAUGAGAAGGCCCGGGACUAAGAUUACUUUAAAAGACUGUUUUUUUAAAAAAUCAGUGAUGGACUGAGUUUUUAUUAGUUGCUCUCUCUUUUAAUAUAAUUUUCUCUUUUGUUAAGUUCGACUCUCUUCCUUCAGAAAUACUGUGUCCCAGCCCCGAAAGGGAGAAAUAUAAUUACUACAAUUAGCUUCUGUUUACUGGAGCAAAAUUAUUUUUUUUCCCAAACUGAAAUACAUGCAUCAUUUGCUAGACUUCCAGCAAUUUUUAUGUAUGGUAUUUCUGAGAAAGAGGUUGUAAUGUCCGUUUUAAUGCAGCUUACCAAAAUAUAGCAGCCAUAAUCGAGCGCUUUUCUCUUUGGUAGUCAGAUAUACAGAAUUGUCAGGCUGUUUGCUUGUAAAUACCUGAAAACUGAAUUGGAGAAAAGUAUUUUUGAUACAAUAAAUUUGGCUUUCCAGUCUGUACUUUCUUUUGAGUUUUCUAGGUAAAUGCUGCGCAGAUUGAUUAUCAGAAAAAUUGAGGCUUAUGUAAUCGGGACAUACAUUUUUCUACUGCCUCCCUUCCCCCACUUAGCUUUCAUUUUACUAUGAAAAAUUUUGAAAAGAAAAUUACUAUGACAUACUGAUUAUACACACAUUUUCAUGGAACUGCACAGCUAAGCUAGUUGUAUGUAUUUAGUAAAAGAAACAGCAAGCAAAAUAUUAAAACCUUGAGACGGCUAAACUUUAAAAUUAUAGUCGUCAUUCAAUACAGCUUUAUCUAAUAUGCUGUACCUAGCUGCAUAGCAAUAAGUCUUUUUUCUUUGGAUAGGGAAUUAGAGCACUUCUAUGUAGUCAUGAUUUAGAAAAAGAAAAAUGAGAACGUCGUACCCCAUUUUUUUACUCGUCGUAAAGCUGAUGCUCCUUUGUAAGGGAGGUGGUUUAACACCUAACUUUGAGAGGAUGAUUUUCAGUGAUUGUUGUUGACAAAAUAUAAGCAAAUGAAUCAGAACUCUGUUCUGGUAGAUAAUUACAAACUGAAUUAACUAAAAAGAAUAAUAUUAAAAUUUUAUCUAAAUAUGUUAACAUGAGCUCUUACCCAUAGGUGGCAGUCAUCUUUCACUGUUGCAGGGAUGCCAAACUUUUGGUUCGUGGUAUUCACGCUUAUGCUGAAAUAAUUUUGAUGAGGUAUGCGUAUGUACAUAAGAAUAUAUAUGUCUGCAUUUUGGGAGAGGGGGAAGGAGGUGAAAUUUACCAUAAAAUUAGGUAGUAAUUAGGAGGAAUCUAAAUUGCUGUGUAGAAGCAGUAAGAUAAGAAAUCAUUGUAUUCUGGAGAAAAGGUAGAGGGAUUUUUAGAACGACAGAAACACAUUUUUUUUAAUCAAUCCAUUGCUGAUGCUCCUCAAAACAAAGUAAUGAUAAUUCAGAAACCAGUUAGCCCUACAAAUUGAGCAGAAAAGCGGAUAUCUUGCCAGCCUUAGUGAACACAACCCUAUAUCGUGCCGAGUCCUCCAAACCACAUUUCUGUCACCCUUUAUCUGUAAAUUACAGAAGCACCACAAUGAUGAUGUUGCCCUGGAAAUCUCAGCAAAGAGGUGUCUUAAAAUUGAGCAAAUACAGACAAAGUGCUCAGGAUGAGGGUGUCCUUUCAGUCCUGGAGAGCAAGCAGAGCCUGCGGGCUGCUGUGCCGUCCUGUGUCUCUGCAGGCUGUGAUCGACACCCGUGGCAGCGCUGCGCAAGGGGAGGACGCUGCCUGCCCGAACGGAGAUGUGCUCCGUUCUGCCAUCAGCUUGUUUUAGGGAUUUAUGUGGUUUAUGGGGAUUUCCUUUUGCAAUACCACUAAGGAGGCACUUGGGACCCCACCAAAACUGGAGGGGAUAGAAGGAACUAAUAAGGUCAUCUCAGGCUAAAACAAACAGAAGUCACGAAACUACAAAUGUGUCAGUGAAACGAUAACAUUCUUCUGAGAAUAGAAGACCGAAACCCGAAAUUCCUGGGUAGGUGAAGUCAUAUUCUUUUUUCUAUUACAGCUGCACUGAAACUCUUUUUAGUUAAGAUUAAUCUAAUAUUGUGUCAAGGUAGGCCACUGUAUACAUUCAGCACAGGUCAGGAACUAGCAUUUUACAAAAUAGAAAAUUGGAAAAAUAGACAAUUAUAUGUUGCUGUUACAGUGUUUCACUGUGAUGCAAGAUUAAGGGCUCAGAAUUGAGCAGAAUGAUGCAGUAUUAUUAAAACAGAAGGACUAAUUCUCCUUAUGCAAGAGUCGCAGCAACACACAUCAUUGUAUAAGCCAAAGCAGGCAGUAUGAUUUCAUAGUCACACAGGGUAUUUCCAUAGACAGACAACCACAAUGUGACUAAUUAGAUAUUUGCAUAUGCAUGGCCCCAUUUGCUCCCCAACUGUAAUAAUUAGGAGUAUUGCACUUCACAUUAAUUUACACUCUUGUGUAACACUAUUGAAUAUACGAUAGAGGGUACGAUAAACUGGCCGGUGACAAAUGGGUAAAUUUGAUACGUGUUUUGAAAUCAGAGCUUUCAUAGCCAGCUUUGUCCUUGACAAAGUGGGCAGGGCUGGAGAAGACCUUCUUUACUGUGGGGCUUGAUCCUCUCUAUCGCAGGCAGCUGUAUUGCACUCUCCAACUUAACAUGCAGAGACACUGGACUCCAUCUUGAAGCUACCCCUGCCAUCAGCUUGCCUCUGUUUUUUCUGUUCCUCUGUGUGGUUAAAGAUUUCAGGUCGUGUGUAUCGUGACCAGCUGAAAUCUCACAUUCUGCAAGGUCUUCACUUCAGUUUAAAGAGCAUUUCUCUCACCUAGUAUAAAGUCCGUUCCCAUCUGUCCUCCCUUGAGUUUUUCAGUUUACUGCCGAAACCUGCUCGGCCUGAGUUCAGGCAAACCAGCUGUGCCGUGCCUGUCACAAACAAGGGUGCUUUUCACUGACGGUUCUUCUAACCCUUCUUUUUACCUCCACUUCCAGGAAAUGUCUUUUAAUCUGCAGGGUUAGAAGUAAGCACAGUGACCCAGAGGAGAUGUUGCCACUGCCUCUUAUGGUGGCAUUAAUAUCUUCCCAUGCCUCCUGGAUACAAAACAACUAAUAUUUUGAUUUUUAAUAUAUUUAUUUUAAUAUUGAAGCUACCUGCUCUCAGUAUCUCAAAAGCUGUAAGGAUUGACCGAAACACCAAACUUAUCCUUUUUUUAUGAAUAGUGACAGCAAAUAUUCUUCAUUCCUAGCUUGUGACCUUGACUUUUGCACUAUCAUACUGGUAUUGCAUGACAAGGGUGUCAAAAGGCUUUUUUAUGAAAGGGUGUCAUCACUUUCAUACAAGCCACGGGCUUUCCUGAAUUCCAGCAUGUCCAGAUUUGUUUGGGAAUCUCUGCACUUUGCACGACUAUGGACGUGAGCUGGCACAGGCACACGAUGCAGCGCAGGGCACUGCAGGGGAGCCGGCUUGGCUCAUGGAACAGAGCUGUCUCUAGGAUUAGGUUACCUCCAGCACAUCACAGUGUGUUAGCUCAGGUAAGCCUUCCAGAGUUUGUGCAGCACUUCUCACUUGCUGUUCUGCACUGGCUUCAUUUGACAGCUCUGGGAGCAAGAGACCAAAUUCUGAAAUAUUUUUACAGGAACAACAGAGGAAUGGACUUAGUCUCUCAUUAUAUUGUUUCUAUUGAUCUUGUAGGUUAAUCUCCAGUUUACAGGUGAUGCCUGUGAAAUUGAAGGAGGAAUGGAUUGUGUGGCACUCUUGAAUAACAUCUAAAAAUAAGAAUUUUCUUUUUUGCCUUUUUAGUAGAAGUCUCUGGAGGAUUUUUGUUGUUGUGUUUGUGGAAGUUAGCUAACAUCAUGACUGUCUCUAAUUAAACAAGCAAAAAUCUGUUUUCUUUUUUUUCCUUUUUUUUUGCCUUCCUUUGGAAGUGGUUACAUGGCCUUUGUAUUGUGGCAUUUUUAUAUAGCAAUUUUAUUUUAUAUAUUUUACUCUGUGCCUGCAGAACAACUAAGAAACUUAACCACUUGAUUUGUCUUUAUAAUGAAAAUACCAUACUGAAGAAUUUUUCCUAAGUUUGGCAUAGGCAGAGUUCCUGGGUACUGAGUCAAGCUUAUGUACAAUGACUCUCAUGCCCGUUGUUAUACAAUAUUCCAGCCUCACUUUGUGCGGGCAGUACCCCAGCUUUGAAUCCUCAGUUGACCAUUCCUAAUUUAAAGUAGUCAGUGAAAAUAACUAAUAAUAUCUGUCUGAGAUCAUUCUUUAAGGAAGUUCACUAUAAACUUUUUUGCUACCUUGAGACUUUCCCUACCAAGCUACUUUGCAAGCUUUUAUUCAUAUUAAGAGUUAAUUUAGCAACUGCUGUCUUCCUCAGUUUAUUUUUUUUCAAGUAGCGUACUAACAAAUGUUUUCCUGAAAUAAAGUCAGAUUAGGUCAGCUCACUUCCUUGAUGUAGAAAAUAGGGUUUGGUGCAUUUUUUGUAAAUGUCUGGCUAGUGUGCCAUAAUCUAUUAUUAGGAAAGCUUUGUAGUGUUUAUAUUUUUUUCUAUUUAUCCAAUUUUAUCCCAUGCAUCCUCGUAACCAAGUUUUUGAUGGGCAGUCCCAAUUUUUCCUCCUGUUAAACUUUCAUUACUUCUAAAAUCUUAGUUGAGGUGACUGCUCUUGGGCUUGGAUUUAAGGACCAAGUUUGCUCACCCAGAAAUAAAGAAACCCAGAACAAAUUUUUUUUUUGCCAUUUCGCCUCUAUCUAAAGGAUUCCCGAAGAAGCUCGCUCACAGAGACAGUAGGAAAACAUGGAUUUUCUUGGAGUCUUCAGCAUAUAGCUGAGAAGACCAUAGAUAAAAAAGCCUCUAAAUCCUGCAAUUUACUCCUCCAAGACUUUCACACUUCAUUUCUAGUCCAGCCCAGGGCUUAUCAUAUCUUGGAGCUUUUAUAAAGUCUUCAAAAGAAUGUGAACAUAGCUAACCAACUUGGUCAGGGUUGCUACAAGUUUAAAAGCAUCCUUUAAAAACCUGAAGUUAUGCCCAAAUAGAGAAAUCAGAAAAUAACAUCUAGCUGGCCAGUUGUGUAUAUAUAUAUAUAUAUAUAUAUAUAUAUAUAUAUAUAUAUAUAUGUAUUAAACCAUAUUAACUGUAUCAAAAAAGUAUUCUGAAGAAGACCAGCAUAACCCAGGGGAAGAAACAGGCAGCUUUUGCAGAGGGGGGAGAUGCCUCACAAAUCCCUCCACGUGGAGGGGGGAUCUGGUCAACAUGCUUAAAAGGAAUUAAAGAAAGACAUUUGACAUCUUUUACCAGAGGCUCUCAAAAACCUUAAGCUGCACGGACAAAGAGGCAGCCUCUCAUGUGGACAAACAUCACAGGAAAGAGAGGAAGCAAAGGUAGAAACAAAUGGUCACUUCUUGUGGUGAUGGCAGUGCAGUAGCAGGGUCCCUUCACCAGCAUGCUCAGAAAUGUUCUGUGAAGGGGCAAGAAUUCAAGUGCAGAGAUUACUGUGAGGAUGAGAAGAGGAUGAGGAACGAGGCCACAAAGCAGAGUGACUGAGGAAGGAAACAGCAGAUGAGCCUUGCUGUGGAUAAAUGCCCUGUGAUACACAGAGGGAUCUUGGCUGGCUCCUACCCCUCCAGAGCAGCCUCGUGGGGCUCCAAUAAAAAUGCUGCCACAAAAACAUCAAUGCACAGCUUGGCAGUGGUUCAAAAAGCAUGCAAAACAUUAGGAAUUGCAAAGAAAGGGACAGGGAACAAAAUCUUAAAAAAAAAAAAUCUCAUUAUUAUGGUGCUGUGUGAAACUCUUCUACCACUUUCUAAGUGCUGCACAUGUUUCUUUGGUCUGUCUGCCUUUAGCAAAAAGGCAUGGCAACGCCUGUGUUUAAAAAACAUUGCAAAAUCAGAGCUAGAAAGCCAGUAUCAGACAAACAAACAAAACCCACUGCACUAAAGGAAAACAACAGUUUGCUUCACAGGCUUCUCCCCCACUUUCAGAAAAGUCAAAAGUAAAAAAAUUCAACAUAAGAGGAGAUAGCUAUGGCACUACUGGUAACAUGAUAAGGGUUGAUGAAGGUGAGUAUGUAGAAUAGUCUGAUCAUAGUGUGACCCUCAUUUGCACCUCUCUUCCCCUCUUUUAUCCUCAUAGAUCAAAUCUACUAAUAAAGGUAAAACAGUUGUUCCAUGUCAUGCUGAAAAUCAUUGAUGAGCAAGAGAGACCAUUGGAUCCAUUAACCUGUAGAUGGACAGGUAGGGCAUCAGUUUUUGGGGGGCUUUUGUUCCCAGACUUCAAGAGCCUUCCCUGUCACAGCUGCUCAGGGACACAUGGAAAACUGGAGCUGAGGAGAAGCAGGGUUGGAUGCACUUGGCAGCUCCUCCAUAAGGUGUGGAGGGUGAUUGGAGGAACUGGUGUUAAGCCAAGGGUUCUGCCAUAUGCAUGAUGAAUAGUAACAUUUUUCACUGCUGUAAGGCAGCAGCAAAUACUUUUAAGUGUGGUGAUCAAUUUUUUUCUCUAGCAUCUAAUUGAGCACCAGUAAAUAUGUUAUUAAGAUGCUUGACAGUGCUCUUUUGCAAUCAAGGCCAAGAUGUAGCCAGAUACUCAUCUUAAUCUUUUGAGACACGUUUCUAAUGAAUUUUUACAGUGCCUAGAGGAAAGGUCCCUGGUCUGAAGUGGGACACCUGGAUGCUAAAAGCAAAUUUUAAUUAAUAAUAUAUUGUGUUUGUGAUGUCAGAGUGUCAUCUAAAGACAGUGGUAAAACCUUGUAUAGGCUACUGCCAGAAUCCUAUUAAUAAAAUUGCUUACUUUAAAUCACUCCCAGGGCACAAGAUAUGAUGUUCCUUUGUUGACAGUACUUCCUCCUGAAUACUUAUAUUCAUGGUUAUCAAGGAACCACUCAAUACUGAGAGAAGCAAUAUUUUGAAGUAAUUCCAUUGUAUUGCAAUGUCUUUGCUAUCGUUCUGUCCUACGGAAGAAGGUUGAAGCUCUAUACCCACUGCAAAAUGCAAUUAGGGAGGUAAGAUAUACCUAGUUAAGAUAGAUGUAUGCUGUCUCCUUGAUUACUCAGUCCACUGUGAAUAAUCAGUCCUCACUUCUACAAUGGCAGUUUUAUGAACUUUUUUCUGCUGCACCGAAGGAACUUUUUAACUCCAAUUUUUUGGAAUAAAAUCUACAAAUUUUACUCAAAAAGUCUGUGAAAUUCUACCAUAUACAAAAGCUAAUCACUGCAGUGAUUGCUAUAGAGAUGGAUUCUGAUUUAAAUUCACAUUUCUAGUCAACAUAAUUUAAGUGCAAAAGGAUUUUGUUUUACUUUCACUACUAGGUUUUCUUAUUAUUUUUGAACCAUUGAGAGAGGAAGGAUGGAAUCCUAGACCCAGUGCAGUGGAUCUAGGUGCUGGAAAACGUGCAGAGAGCUACACUGAAAUGAGAGCUCAAGGUGUCCAGAACUCAAACAAAAGCAAUUUGGCUAGUGUAGUUGGUUUCGAGCAGUCUUCUCAACAUUUUAGUUCUAAAACCUACAGAACCAAUCUAAAAUAAAAAAAGUCCAUUUAUCAUCUUGUGCAGUGGCCACAAAUGGUUUAAGUAAUAGUUAUAGUAAAGAACCAUGAAUUUUAGUGGCCUGCCUUUAUUUUUUUCAAUUAUAUACUUUUUAUUAUUGUUAGUUGACUCCUACAUGUGUGAAAGCAUAUGCAUGUUUUAGUUUGGGGUGUGCUGUGAUACUACUUCUGGACAAACAAGUAGGUGCAACAGUUUUGCAGGCAAUUAUCUAGUAUUUCACAAUCUCCACACUGCUCCUGGACAGCAGACCUGAAUUAGAAAACAUAAAAAUUGCUUUCAUUAAAGUAUUUAUCAGAAAACCUGAAGGGACAUAUGUUGGAGUAAUUUGUAGCAAAUCAUUAAUACAAGAUAUGAAGUAAAUUUUCCAAUGAUUGAUUAAUUAUUAUAGUCUUUGGACAUUCCUCCUUGAUAUUUAGAUUAUUUCAACCGUUUUUAGGAGACAGGACAAUGUGAAAACUUUAUUAUUGUGAUAACAUGUCAAAAAACAAAAGGCAGUAACAUGGCAAAAACCCACCAGAGCUGUAAUCAAGGUGGUAACAGAACAAGUCUGUCUGAACUGGGAGCAGCCAGAAGAGCACAUCUUCUGUGCCAUAAAUGCAGGCAGAGUUCAAAUGCAUAAAAGCAGCUGUUGAACUAAAGCACACAGACCUAAAAGAAUGGGAUUGCUGGGAUGGGCAUGUAUCAUAGAAUUGUAGAAUGGGUCAGGUCAAAGAGCACCUUAAAGAGUACCUGGGUCCAGCCUCCCUAGCUUCCAGGCUACACCACCAUCCUUCCCAGAGGGCUCUCUCAGAAGCUCCAAGCAAGACAACAGAGAGCAGGACUCGUGUCCCCUCAGCCCUGUCCCACCAGCCAGGAGCAGAUUGAGUGCCUGGCCCUUUUGCCCAGGUGAAAGUGGGUGAGCACAAUACAACUUAACUAGGCUGCAAGAAAAACACAUGUGAUGGCCCUGUUCUGUCAGCCCAAUGAAACUCCUACUCCCACCUGCAAAAUCUGGAUGCCUGGAGGAUUUGAACCUUUUUAACCCUGGGGCAUGGCCAUAGAGAUAGAAGCACAGAGUGGCAGAGUAUAGUAAUCUUUCAGAUGUGUGGCAUCAUUAUAUUCAGAUGCUGUGUAAGCCUGAUACAAUAGCUCCAACCACAUCUUAUUUGAAAUUGAACUAUACCUUAUUUAGGGCAGAGAAACAUUUUCAAAAUUGCCUGGACAUCAUAGAAUUUUUUAGAGGUAUAAUUUUCAGCUUUUCCAUUGAUCAAUUUUUUUUUUUUUAAAUCACUAGUUCACUUUCCCCUCAUCUAUUUCACUUUAUCAUAGGGAUAGCUGUAUUUGUUGCUAGCAUGAAAUGCUGGAGGGUCCUACAUACUUUGUAGUUUCAGCUUUUGGUUUAUCUUGCCAAAAAAUCUGGGUAUGGGGAUGAAUACAGAUGUAUCUUGUUCAUCAUAUUUGCCCUCUACAUAGGGAUACAAGGAAGCUUUCACUGGAUACAGAACAUACUGUAUUAAUUUCGUAGAUUUGGUUUUGCAUGUGGUACAAGUAUUUGUUUUGCUGGAUUCUCAAAACUUCUGCAGAAAAGAAAAGGAUUGUUGCCACAUAAAUGUCUUCCCAGAAAACAGCAAACAAACUGAAGAGCCAAGAUCUCCAUCGUGGCGCCGCUCAGCUGACCUCAGCCACUUUGCACGAGAAGGGAGUGUUGCCUGUAUCUGCUGUAGUUGUUUCAUUGCAGAUGAAAAGCAAAGGCAAGGUUUCCUCCUACCAGGGUUUUGUCAGAAAGGGAAAUCUGCUUUCUGUACGCACAUUAGCAGAGCCUGAGAGAUGGGGCAAGUUUUACUUCCUGGUGGCACAUGUGAAACACCCUUUAGUUGGGAGAAAAUCGUGUAAGUUUUGAAGAAAAAAGACUAAGAGUAAAGCAGGGAGUAUUAACUGCAAAUGAAGGGGACAGUCCUUAAGAGGAUAAUUUUCUGCUUUUAAAUCUGGUGCCCGUAUUAAAAUUUCUUCCAGCAGUAUGUGCAUGACUGAUACUUAUUCAGCUGAUAGCGCAAAGCAGCAGUGACCCUGGCACCAAUGCCGAGGCAAUAUUUACAAAAGGAUGAACUGUUUUCGAACAAUGUCUUCAAUGUACUAAGCACAAACAAGCUUUUCUUCAGCAUCAGGCAUGCAUGUUGACUCGUUCCAACGAUUUUAUUCAUGUACAAAUGUAUUCAUUGUGGACAAUGCAAGGAAAAUGUCAUUCUCUAUUUAUAUCCCAGUUUCCCUUUGUCCUCUUUACAGUAUCUUGGGGCAGUGAUGCAGAGCAGAAUCUUGUUCUAAACUCCUGCUAUUUUCCUCCCCAUCUUCCGAAGCACUCACAGUAGCAGAGACGCAGCGAGUUAAAAGGCUCCCUACAGCAGAUUUUUUUUUCUUUUGAGACACAAAGAUCGGUCUCUCUGCCUCCGCUUCCCAGCAGAGAAGAUCUAAGUCCUGCCUCUUGCUCCAUCACUCGGAGCACAUAAUGGUCUUGGCAGCAGAGGAUGUGGUGGUAGCAGCAUUUUGAGCCAUGUAAGUGGAUGCACCUGGCACAGCAGUGUGAAUAAGCGAUGUUAAGGCAAUUCUCUCCCAGCAAUAUAUGAAACCAUCCACUUCAUGAACAGCCUCUCUGUGAUAAAGGCUGCCUUUCUGUUGACUUGGAUAAGUUCCCCAGUAUGGUGAAAACAGAAUAAUGGAGGACUUUGAAAGAAGAGCCCUUGUACAGAAAAUAAUUAAUCUUGCAGCAGAGGGGCAGGGAGAAAGAUUUAGUGACACUUGAAAACAAAAAACAAAUCCCCAAGUCCUAGGACUAAACUAAAAAGCACAAGUGCAGGCUCACACUGUGUUUUCAUUGUAGAACAAAUCGUCUGUCCUGAAAGCAUCUCUCUUGGGCAGGUUGGCCACCAUUUCAGGUAGGAAUUAGGAACAUUAUUUUAAAGGACAUUUCAGGGAAAUUCUAUUUUGCCUUUCAAGCAUCGUCUGAUUUUCUUCAAGGUGGAAAUGUCCCUUCUCUCAGCUGUGGCAUUCCACUCUGAUAAGCUUCACUUUAUUGGUAAAAUGAUAUGCAUUGUCUUAGUGCUAUAAUCAUAUUUUUACAAAAAAUCAAGUGAUAAAACUCCUUACUUCUACAAUGAAAAUAAUGUAAAUUGAAAGCUCAACGUUAAAUAGAAGUUGCUUUUAAUAGAUUGCUGCACUCUUUCCAGCUAUGUGUAUACAAAGAAAAUAGUCACGCAUGCCUCAGAUGCAACAGUGAAAGGAAUAUAACAUAUUCCACAUGUUCUAAGAAAUUGAAAAACUCACAUUUCUGAAGGAAGAAUAUGUGGCUGUUUUCCAGUGGGAGACUCCUGAGGCCUGUGCACUCACUUGGAUGGAUCUCCCAGUAAAGAGCAUCCCUUAUACACAGGAUUCACAUCCAAUGCAAGCAUCAAAACAUUUACUGAUGAUAAUGGAUUUUGUGUGAAAGUAAGUCUUUUCUUUCCCCAGACAAAAUAUCUCAAUCAGGUUGAAGCAAUUUUGUUCUCUGAAAGAAGAGUUUGAGACUUAAUGAAUAUUACCAAAUGAAAAAUUCUAACCACAUAAUACCUUUUAGAUAAAGGGUUUAUGGAACACCAAAUAAAUGAACUCUUCUUGUAAUUCAUACUUCUAAUAAUGCAUGAUUUCAUAUGCUUUAGCACAUAAAAGAUUAGAUAGCUUGAAAAUUAGAGCAGUCAAACUUUUAGCACAGUGUGAGAUGAAGAUAAGGAGUAUUCAGUCACCAAAAACAUCUUUCCUUCAUCACCGUCUAACUCAUCCUUAAGGAAUUUUUAAAAUUACAAUUGAGCAAUUCUUAACUACUGUACAAAAAUAACUUCUAUUAGCUGGAAAACAUAUUAAGAUCUUUCAACUUUAGGGUAUAGAGAUAAAAUGCCAUGUGAAGGCUUGCCUUAUCACUCCCAUAAAUUGAAGUUUGACAAAGGUUGGUAAUUCUGACAUUUGGAGAGAUGAUUAAAUUCCCUAAAUGAUUGAAAGCUAAGCAUAACCUUCAAGAUUAAAUGAAGAUUAAAUGAUCAUCUAUUAUGGAUGUAUGCAAUAUAUAUGAUUUCAACAGUUAGCUGGCAGCAAUCAUUCAUUCUCAUUUUUCAUUAAAUUUUUAGAAAGUGGCAUCCCCCAGAGUUAAAUCUGGCAUCUGCAACUAAGGACAAUAUUGAAAUACAAGUAAUUUGGUUGUAAUCUAGUUUAUUGUUUUAUUUUUUUCAAAAAAUUUCUAUCACUGCUGCAUCACCAUAUUGAAAUGACUCAGACAAUUAACUGAUCAGUCCCUGUUCAAAUAAUGAAACACCUUUGGAAGUGUUUUAAUAUGAUGUGAGUCUUUAGUGAGCAGCAGGAAAAAUAUGCUAUCUUCAGUAAAGUUUUUAAAAACGUUUUCUCAAUAUGCAAUAUGUGUCAAUACAGAAGACCUUUUCUGCCAAAACAUAAUUUUAUCUAAGGGCAAGCCUUGGAAAAUGCUACUUAUCAGGUUCUUUUAAUCAGAUAAUGUAUAAUGAAUAACUGCAGCUAACAGUAUUUUUUGCUUUUGUUGGUACUGAAGCAACUGGUAUUACUGCUUUUUGUAAUUUCACAUUACUUAGCAACAAAAAAGUUUAACUUCUGUUGUUGGAAGCUAUGCUAGGAUUAUUUUCACAGUCUGCUCAAUUUGCCUGCUCUUACAUCUGACAAUCCACCAUAAGCAAUUGAGAAAUAUUUUCUGCACAAGCUACGUUAAGCCUCAUAACAAUUAUUGCUAUCUUGGCUGAUCCACUCAAAACUGUUUCUCCACUUAAUCCAAAAACCUAAAGCUCUUUCUUUUCAGGCAGCAUAUCCUGCCUCAUGGAAGGCAUGUUACCACUACAGUCAUGGUCAGAAUCUGGGUACAGAUGCAAUGGGAGUUAUUAAAGUUAUGUAGGCUCAAUGUUAGAUAAUUAAUCCUCUGAUUAUUCCCCUUCAGUGCUGGGUCCCACCCCUGGACGCUGUGCUUGACCUACAGACAGUACUGAGCCUACAAUAAAAGCUUGUGGUCACCAUUUCUAGAGACAAACCAUUUGCAUAUGAGAUGACUGUAGCAGCAGUUCUGGUGUCACCACAUCUAGUCUGGGCACAUAUUGAAAAUGGAUCUUUUUACAUUCAGUGAUAGUUCAGUUUAGCAAAGAAACUUAGGAUUCAUUGGGUUUAAAGGUGCAAUAUGAACAUAAAGCCUGAAAUGAGACAAGGGUUUGGGAAAUAAGACUUCAGCAGAGACUUGUGAGGUUCAACAUCUGAGAAAUCUUUUUGAGAGGGUAUGAGUGAGUACUCAGCACUUCUCAUAGAGUUGUGAGAUCUUUGUUUUGCUCUGAACGGAUUCAGUAAUUUUCAGGCCGUGGUGUCACAUUCUGAGCCAGUGCCUUGAACCUGGAGCCAUCCCUGUUACUUCUGUUUGGAGCAGGGUGCAUCUCCAGGUAACACAAACACCCAGCCCCUGGGAGACUCAUUUGACACAUCCACCCUUGCCCUGCCUGUGGGCUGCAGGGACCCUUGCAGAGCGGUGAGGGCAGAGGAGCCCUCCUGACCCAGGGGGAAGCACAGCAAACCCAGCCCUGCAUUCCGCCACCAUAUGCCCAUGCUGUCCCUGCCCAGUGCAGUUAAAUAAAUGGAUGUUCUUUAUUUCCUGGCCUUCACUGAAUUGGACACACAUCCUGCAGUUGGCUGUGAUUUGUAUUUCCUUCAGCACCUGUAGUCUGUGGUAUGCACUUGGCCACUGUGAUGUGUGAGUGUUUCAUAACAACUGGACUGGGUGGGAAACUUGAGCUCUGGACAGGUGACAUUUUUGAUGCCAUGGAACAGAUGCAAACUUCUGUAAUACAAACUAAGUGGUUGUUUUUACUGAGGCCAUGAAGUGCAAACAUUUUUUAAUUUAUUUCAUAAUCCAACUUGUAUUUUAUACUUCAAAGUCUGAUAACCACAAUAAUUUUGCCAGAAAGGAACCUUUCUGAGCUGGCUGGCUCUACAGAUGAAUGCCACAUCUAAACAUGAAUGCCACAUUCAUAAACCAAAGGGGUUUUUUUGCAACUCUAAGAACCAGAAGUGUUUGGGAUCUGUAGGAGAGGCUACAUGACCCCCAGCAGGGUCCAUAGCUCAGAAGCCAAGGAGCUGGGCAAUCCUGAGCAGGCUGGCUCUGCACACCUCAGUCCCACCGCUCAACAAGCGCUACAUCUGCUUGGGUUUUUGUCACCCUGACACACAUCCACAGUCCUGGGCCAAAUGUUUCUUAGACACAGAGGGAUUGAGAGAUGGGGCCAGACAGACCUCAGUCCUUCAGCCAUUUGGGAGCAUGUUCAUGGGGCUGAACAGAAACAUCACACCCUAUUAUAGUCUGGCAGAAGCUGGACAGCAUCACCGACUUUUGGCUCAAGUCCUCAGGUGAGCACUCUCUCCAGGAAAAAUGUUUUAAGUGAUGGAUGAAUUUAAAGUGUUAAUUACACCAAAGAAGGUAAUAAAAAGGAGUGGAGUUUUCAUUUCAAUUUUAAGUGAAAUUUCAAAGACUGUAUAACAUUUAAGCUGUAAUAAACAAAUGCCUAGAAGUGAGAAUAAAAUGCUGGUACAAACUUCGGAAGCUGGUAGUUUUCAGAAAUUUGGCAACCAUCUCAAUAUUACCAUAUAGUAUGUGUCAAAUGUCUUCAUGCUGAUCUUUUCUUUUCCCCUGUAGCAAGAUGAUUUGUUCAUUAAAUUGCUAUUUAUUUCAAUGUAUUCCUGGGAAACAAAGCCUCCAGUCUGUAACAGUGACAGGUCACUGAAAGGUGGCUUUCAUGUACUCAAGCACUUCACACGUUCUAGGUCAGGCACCCUUGAUGUGUGUCCUUGUGCAAAAGCUCCUGUAGGAUGUUUUACUUCACUCCUUAGACAGAGGCAUUAAAUUUGACAGCAAAAUUGCUUCCACCCUCUUUAUAUCAGUAACUACAUAAAGGUAAGUUAGAGCACAUGGUUUUAAUUUAGCCUUUAGUGGUUUUAUUUGGCAGGGGAAAAAAACUGUUGAGCACUAACCUUGAGUUAGAAGCUGACCUCCGAAUCAGUCAGCCUUUUUCUUGUAAAUGCAUUUUGUAGAGUAUAAACAUGAACCAUCUAUUUACAUAACGUUAGUGACAGCCAAAUGAUUUCUUAGGAGCAUUAAUGCUGGAAAUCCUAAACACUCCUUCCUUGCUGGAGAAUGGUUUAUAGCUCCUGAGAAUAAUCUCUCCAGCAAGUAACUGCAAACAGAAAAGGCUGAUCUUUUUCCAACCAAAUUUAGGAUUUCUCUGGUAUUUCACUAACCCCAGAUAAUAAUUAAUUAUAAGCUGCUGUUAAAUGAAAUGCAGGUCACCUCCCAGGGUGCAUGUGGAAAGCUCUGACAGUGCUGGUGGUGGUGCAGCCUGCUCCUGUACUACAGUGGCUUUAUAGGAGACGCUGUGAAAAAGCAAAGAGCAGCCUGAAUGCAGCUUGGCACUGGGGAGCCCUGGUGCAGAGUGCCAGUGGUGGCCCUGAGGGAUGGCCAAGGACAGGAACCCCGUGGUGUGCCUGAGUUUCUCCACCUGUCCUGUUGCUGGUUUGCUGGGAGCCAAGGGCAGUGAGGAGCAAGGAAUUUCAGGCUGCCUGAAGCUGAGAUCCUUCUUCAACCCAACAGCAGAUCUCCAGCCCCCCUCUGCUUUCCCAGCUGGAGCAGCACAAGAAGCCAGCCUGGCAAACUGAUGGGUCCUGCACGUGUGUUGCUGCCUCUGACAUGUGUGCAAGCCCUGCUUCCUACCUGAGCUCACAGCAAGGUUUUAGAGUUUUUAGGUUUUUUUCUCAAAUACAGAUAAAAUGAAAGCCAUGAAAUGCCACCAGGGUUUGAAGUUCCUGUGUUUCUUUGAGUGUGAGCUUUACUGGUUUUAAGAAUCAAAUUUUACAAAAUGGAUAUAAUAACAAUAAUGAAAAACAAAUCUACAAAAGAUUAGAAUAAUUUGUGUAAAAUUUUCUUCAGGCCAAGGGAGCAUUUAACAGGCUUUCAGAAGCAGAAAAGUUACUUGGCUCAUUUUAGUUAAUUUUUGCCCACUUUAAAGAGAGAGUAUUUUGUGGAUGUCAUAGUUUUCCUCUUUAUUGUUGAAUAAACAGCAGAAUGUCCUUUCCUUUUUUUUUUUUAAGUGUAUUUUCAGCAGGUAUUUUUAUUACUACCAUUAUUAUUAUUAUUGCAAUAAGAGUACAUACCAUAACAUAGCACUUCUAGCUUGCUCCACGUUUGUUGGCAUGCCCUGCCAUAAUAUGCCAUAAUAAGUCUCUAAAUUAGGAUGGUAUUUUUCAUGCUUUCAGCAACAGCAGCAAGGUACUCUGCUCUUUGCUGUGUGUUGUUAUUAUUAGCUCUCCCAGGAUCGAAUUCCAGCCUCGGGCACUGGUUGUGUGAUGGGGCCAAGCUCUGAUGGCAGGUUUCAGCCCGUGUUUUGUCUGGCUCUGUUUGCCCUACCUCAUUCAUGAUAGGGAGCACAAAGGCUGGGCUGAACAGAAGGGAAAUGCACACCAUUUUAGAUAUCCUCAAAUUACUGCUUACCACUUGUCUCCAAACUAGAGUAAAGUGGGUUCUGUUUAACAUAAAAGGUGGGCAGGGUUUCACUCCACGCAGAGGUUUAUCAGUCCCAGCAGCCUCUCUAGUAAGUGGGAAUGAGAAAGGAAGCAUCUGAAGGCUUCUCAGAUAACCAGCAGCAGGCCCCUUUCCCCUGCCCAGCUCUCUUUGCUCACUGGCAUCCUCCAUGGGGGUGUCCCCAGGCCACUUGUGCUUGGCAUUUGGGGGCCAGGUUGCAAGAGGCACAGACAGUGUUUCUUUGUUUGCCAGUGUUGUGAAACCCUCUGUUCAGCAACCCUGCUGCCCUCUUGUGCAGCAUAGAGCCUUUCCCAAAGAUUUGGCACAAAUACUGUCACUCACUGCCAGUGAAAUAAGGCAAACACCUUCCCCUCCCACUGAGAGCAGGAACAUUGACUCCUGCAGGUGCAGCUCGUCCUUUCUCAGGUCCCUUUCCUCUGCUGGCCUGCAGUGUGCAGCAGGAAGAGUGUCCUUGAAUAGGCCAGCUCUCUCCAGGGCUGAGGGGUGACAUGCAUUCAUCAUGCUCAUUCAAUAGAAUCACAAAUCCACAGAACGGUUUGGGUUGGAAGGGACCUUGAAGGUCAUUUAGUUCCAAUCCCCCUGCUGUGGGCAGGGGCACCUUCCACUAGACCAAAUUGCUUCCAUCUCCCUCCAGCCUGUUCUUGAACACUUUGAAGAAUGGGGCAUCCACAGUUUCUCUGGGAGAUCUAUUCCAGUGUUUCACCACCCUCACAGUAAAGAAUUUCUUCCUAGUACCUAACCUAAAUUUAUUCUCUGCAGUUAAAACCCAAUCCCGCUUAUCCUGCCACUACAUUUUCUAGUAAAUAGUCUCUCUCCAUCUUUCCUUUUAGGUGGGCUCCUUUUAGGUGAUGGAAGGUCACAACUGGGUCAUCCCAAGGCCUUCUCUUCCAGGCUGAAAAAUCCCAAUUCUUCUAGCCUUUCCUCACAGGAGAGGUGCUCCAUCCCUCUAAUCAUCUUGGUAAUGCUCCUCUGGAUGCUCUCCAACAGGUUGAUCCUCAUCCUUCCAGUUGAUUCUCAUUUUGCUCAUUUUACUUGCUGUGUUCAGAUAUUAAAGCAAUGUCCCUUCAAAAGUGGAAAAAGCAAUUUUUUCACAUUUUAGGAUGACGUUAGGGAAUAUAGCACUGUGUGGCUGAGGUAUGUGUCCUCCUGAGGCAGGGGGAUAUUUCUUAUCUUCAGUAAAGCCUGAACAUGUUCCCUGUCUCCCUUCUGAACCGCCUGGUCCUGAGCUUGGACACACCUGGGAAAUGAAAUUUUGCUGCCUUUUUCUCUUUAGCAGGUCAGUCUUGAGCUAUACAGGGAGUCUUGCUGGCUGCAUGCUCCUCUGCUGCUGAAAGAGCUCCUUGUCCAAACAAAAAAGGAUUGAAUGAAAAUUUUAGUGCGAUUAAAACACAUUUCUCACAGAAAAAGCCUUUGCCUGGCCAAUCAAGGACAUUUCUGCUCCAGAAUAAGUUAGAGAUGAUAGCAAAAAAAAUAAAAAAAUCCCCAAACUUUUCUAGGUAGUUCCUGAUAUAAAUAAAGAGCAGGAAGAAUUCUUGUCCUUUGCCUAGCUUACUUUGUGUCCAAAAAUUGAAGUGUACUGCUUGCUCUGCUUUUCAGUAAAAUCUCUAGUGCUAGCAAUUUUCCUAUGUAGGAGGGAAAAAAGAAGUGUUGGCAAGAAUCUCUCAAUCUGUCUCAUCAGCACCAUCAUUAAUUGAGCAUUUUUGGGAGUGGAUCAGUUCUUCUGAGCUAAGGAAGUGAGGUAUCUUUAUUGUGACCCACAAGACGAGCAGGAGCAUGGCACAGUGGGGCUCAGGUGAGCUGGAAUUUCUGCUGCUGUGUUUCUCUCUGUGGCUUUGGAGGGCAGCAGUUCCUCCCAAGGAUCCCAGAGCCAGGCCACAGCUGCCACCAGGCUGUCCUUUGCUUUUCUUUUGCUCCUUCAGGUUACAAAGCUUUGAAUUUUCUUCCAGCUCUGUGGUGGGCGACAUGGAUGGCAACUUAUUUAUGCUCCUGUUGUCUCUAGAAACCUCCAAUUGGGUUCCUCCUGGCAUAGUUUAACACGCCCACUGCCUGCCAAAUAUUUUUUAAAUCCUAAAAGCCUUUCUGUUGCUAGGUUGAAAUUUUUUCUGCCUUUCAGAUAUAAAGUGACUAAUGGGAUACAUUUCAUAAUACAUCAGCAAGCAUAAUACUUGUUAUUAUCAUAUUUUAGUGCCCUUUAAAAUUACUGUACUGGGAGGAUGGGGUAGUAUGUAAAUUGUACAUCAUAAAGACAGUAGGGCAAAUUCUUUGUUCUUUGAUAAUCACAUUUUAUAAUUAGGGAUUAGGGAGAUGAAGUUAAAAUGUAUUGGUGUGGGGUUUUUUAACCAAUGUUUUUCAGGAGAUGAACAAAUGUCCAACAGUAGACAUUAGGUGUUAGGACUUGUGUGGAAUUUUGAUGCUGUAAACCUCAUCCUGGUCUGGUACAAAUCUCCCUCAGGUUUCCAUGUUCACAGGCUGGGAACACAACUUCUAGCCUGUCUGGAUAGCUGCUGGUUUUUUCUCUUCCUGCUGAUUCCUCCUCUGGUUCUGUACUUUUAGACAAGACAGAACCUCAGCCCAUAGGAGAGCAAAUGAAUGGAGAAGUCAUGUGGACCAAAAGGAGUAGUGGACACUGACACUGGAUGACAUCUUGGGACAGUGUUGAAUUCAAAAGAAAAAUUAUGAGGCCAUUUAAUCAAUAAAUGUUAUUGCAGUUUUUGUCUUUUCAUGUUCUGAUAAGAACUCUCUGAGACACAGAAACAGUCACUCUAAGUCACUCUCAGUCACAGGUGGGAUAGUUCUACCUCCUGAAAACCCACAGGAGCCAUGCUUAAAGAAACAGGCUUGGAAGAUUGAUCUAUGGCUUAACAAAACAAACAGUUUCCACUUGUGCAGGUUCAUGGAUUCUAGAAUAAAUAAGAUUUGCCUCCUGCUUGACUCCUCUGGGGACUGUAUACAUGGAAUGGUGCGUUCCCUAAGUGUGGGCAAGAGGAGAGCUCAGCUCUGUACUGGGGAGCACACCUCAACCUGCUCUGCCACACUUCUCCUCUCUUUGUACUCUUAAAUGUUCCAUCAAUUGAUAAUAUCCAGUGAGAAACUCAUAUUACAGAGAUUUCUCCAUGCAAGUACAUUUAAAACACCAGGCAGUUUCAGUUAGCUGCAGUGCAAUGGUUUUGGGCAAUAAAGAUGUAAGGGUUUUGUUAGUUCAUUGAAGCUGUUACAGAAAAAAGCUUGGUUAUAAUAUGAUCCAGGACGUCUUGCUGGUUCUGUUAUGCCUUCUUACACAGUAAGUGAAUUAGCAAAACAGCUUGUGAAGAUUCCUCUUGAGCAUUUGUUCACUCUUCUUAAAGUGAUACCAAGAGGUCUUGUUGUAAUUUUAAUUAUUUUCUAUCCCUCUAGUUGAAGGUAAUAGAUUUAUUUAUUUUAACUGAUAAUCAUGAAAAGAUGAAUGAACUCUGAGCCUAGUUUAGAUUUAAAAAAAAAAAAAGUCUUCAAAUCUGGAAGAAGUCUAAAUUCAUGUAAGUCUAGGAAAAAUAGAAAUUGUGAUGUUAAAAUAUUUUAUUUUAGCAACAUAGAAUAAUUUGGGUUGGAAGGGACCUCUGGAGCCCUCCUAUGGUACAACCCCCUGCUCGUAAUUGGAUCAGCUUUUACACUGGUUCAGGCUCCACGGUGCCUUGUUGAACUGAGUUGGAAUAUAACUGAGUUGGGGUUUUUUAUGCUUUCUCUUACUUGAAUAAUUUGCAAAAUAAAAAUUCAGUCUUAAUGUCUAAAAAAAGGGUUGCCUGACAGUGUAAGAAAUUUGCUUUCAAUGGCAAAAUUUUGUUUGCCUUUGAAAUUCCUUGACAUAUCUCAAUAGCAAAGAGAAAUAAAAAAUCGCUGUUUAUAAUCCUGAAGAAAUAAAAGCAUAGAAAAAGUCAAAUCUCAUCAUUAUUUUUAAGGCAAAAUUGAAGUGAUGAUGACAUUCUUAGCUUUGAAAAAUACAUUUCUAAGUAUGAUUUUAGUUACAUGGAAAAACUUAUAUGCAAAGUCAUUGGAAAAAAAUUUUAAAAAAAUCAUUAAAAUAUAUUAAAUGUACUCUGUACUUUCACAGGUUUUUAAUUUUCAAUUUCACGUGUGCAUGGCAAAACUAAGUGCCAUUCAGUGGACUCAUUAUGAUGACUCAAAUUUGCAUUAGGAAGAGGACCACACAGAAGAAAUGUUUCUUUUCUUUGUGUUUUUAACAUUUUUGCCAAACUUAUAUUAAAAAAAAGUGUUGUUGAAAUUUUAAGGGUUUUUAUAAGACACCAACCAUGUCAGACCUCUCUUCAAUGCUAUUUAAAACAAAAGGAUCUGAAUUAGAUUUUCCAGCUCUUUUAGUUGUUUUCAUUCAAGUCCUGCAACUGCUAAUAUAAACAUUUUUCCUCUUUUAACUAAAAUAUUUUCAUUUUAGUUAAACGUCCUGCUUCAUCUCCAGCACUGACACCAUGUGAAUGAAUGGAUAUUUAUCAGCCAGCUUCCACAAUCUGGUAGAGGACACAGAAGCCUUAUCCAAUGCUCUGGUCGUAACAACUAUCACUCGUGUUAUUCCUUAUACAUACUUUCCUUCCUAUCCUUGUCUGUUAUUUCUCCCAUCUUUCAGGACACAGAAAAUGUAAAUACUGCAAGGGAGAGUCUGCAUUUUUUUCUGUACCAUGUUGUCUUGCCCACACACAUUUGGAAAGAUGAGUAAGUAAAAAAUGUUUCAACUGUCCAGGCUUCCCAUCACAUACACAUUUAUAGCAUUGCCAAAAAGACACCUGACUUGUGUUUAACCUCUGAAAACCAGAAUGUUGCAUCUUAAACCAUCUUUCACAUUUCUAUACAGUUCACUUCUUACAAACACAUCCUACCCAGAAAACAUCGAGGAAUAAGUAGGUCUUGAACUGAAAACCCAUCUGAAACACUUUCAGGGCUAGAAAGUGAGAAGCAAGGCAUGGGAUCAGGGCCAUCCCAUGUGGGAGCUGAGGCUCAGUGUUGGACCAAAUCCACGACUGCUACAAGCACGGCAGUUCCCACAGAGUGAGAGUGCCAGUCCCCAGCACUCUGGUUUGGGGUCUGCUGACCAAAAUGCAGGCUCUGGACCAGAUAAUUUCAGCAAACUCAGAUGCACAGCUCGCUGUACAGUUGGAAAGGUCCACAUGCCCACCUCCUGUUGUUUCUGCCACCUGUUUUGGCAGAAACAACAAAAUAGGUUUUGUGUGUGCCUGUGUGUAUUGCAUAAUUCACCAUCCAAACUGAAUCCAAAAUAUCUGGAUGGUGGCCUGCCCUGCAUUUGCUUGGUGGAGCUGGAGAGGCAUGCCAAGAGCAGCACCAACAGCUGGCGGCCCAGGAUGCUCCAACCCCCGGGCUGGAGACACAAUCCAGAGACUGUGCAAGUGUAAAGGGUCCUUUCUUUUAAAUCAGCCCUCUAGGCAGCUGAGGUUUGUGGUGGUGAAAGCAAAGCACGGGGUCACUUUCAGCCCAGACACAGACCACCUCUCCUACCAACGCUCUGCAGCUCAUUCAUUCCUAUUUUGGUGGUGACUGGGAAUAAUUUCACAAAGCACUGCUGUUAUACAGGUGGAAGCUCAGCUCAACCACGCCUGAGAGCAGCAAGGUAAGGACUUGUAGUGUUUUAUGCACAACUGUAAAUGUUCUUUUGCCUUUCAGUGUUGCUUGCAACCCAAGAUUUCAUUUGAGCUGGUAUAAUAUACACUUGCAUCAUUAACAAUUACCAGCCAUUGUUCCAAUUUGGAUUUCUCUUGCUAAUUAGAUUCACUCUGACAAUCUGUAUGGCCCAUAAACCCCAAAAGGAGUAUCUUCCCACAGUGAACAGAAUGGAAUAUGAAUAAUCAGUUUAAUAAUUGUAUUUGAUUUAGCUUCUCAACACCAACGUGUGAAUCAAGAGCCUGCCAAGGCUCCCUGGUGGGAGAGUCCCGCUCUGCUCCUGACUGUUCUCACGAGAGGAGCCGGAGCUUGCCCGACCGCUUUGCCAAGGCUGCAAAUGCCGUGUGGCUCUUACAUAACCAUUGGGAACCACCACUUUUAAUUCUUGCAGGUUUGCAUGAGCACCCAGCUCUUCUCUGUCUCACUCUUCUCUAACAUUCUUGCCUUUCUCUUUAGAAAGGCAGCAGUAAUGGAGACAAUAUUAGCUGCUAGAGGAGCUGAAGGAGCUCUGGAAUGUGACCUUGCAGUCCCUCUGUGAAAGGCCCUGCAGCCCCGAGCACUUCUGCCCCCCUUGCUGACCGGAGUAUUGGGGCAGCAAACCUGGGCUGGAAACCAUCUCUUGGCCACUUGCUGGACUGUUUCUGGCGGCUCACCACAAGAGCCCCUCUCCCAGUGCAUUGCAAAGGCAGCAAUGUGGCUUCCAGACCCAGGUUGCUCCAUACCUGACAGGCCUGAGGCAUAGCCAGAGGGUCAGGUUCUGCUCCUACCUGUUUGGUUAGGCUUCACCUGGAGCCCUCCUGCAAAUUCCCUUCUCCACAACACAUGUAUGAAAACUCUGGUAAUUGCUAGGCAGAGCAAGAUAUAGUUGGUUGUUUUGGCUAUGAAUCAUGCAGACAGGCAGGUGUUUUUAUUCAUUUUUUCAUUGCUUUUCCAAGCUUUAAGGAAAAACAUUAAAACAAAUGCAAUUGCACGCCACUGCAACUGCUCCUCACAGAAUGCCAGUGUUGGAGUCAGACCCCUGAUGCUGCAGCUCAGCUGCCAGGGACUGGGGGUGGAAGAGCUGGCAGCUCCAGGACAGGGAGUGGAAUGUGGUUCCCAGGUUCAUUUGGUACCAAAGCACUGGGAGACACCACUGAGCUUUUCUCUAUCCCCCACCCUACCCCCACUUAAUGCUUCUUGUUCCAGGGGCUGCUUUUGACCCUAAUCCAAAGAAAAUAGAUGUGGAUGUGCUACUGGCUGGCAACAAUUGGGGGCUGGCCUUAGGCUGGAGUGGGGAGCACUUGGAUACUUGUGACAGCUGGAGGGUGCCUGUUUCACCUAACGCCAUCCCCAUCACCACAUGCAUGUGCUGCAGUAACUCCCCAUGGAAGUGGAAAAGAGGGUCUCUGGUCUCCUGGUCUCCCUUGCAGAUUUCUGCUGCUCUGCUGUUAAUACAUCUUUCCCAAAAAGAGGGGUAGGAAGGGAGGAGAGUUGAUCUGGGCACUAAUACUUUCUCUUCUUAGCUGGAAAUAGGUGCAACAUCAAAAUCAAGGUGGCAGCACACAACUCCCCUUAGAGAGACAGUAAAUAAAUUUUCCUCAUGCUGGAGGUGGGGAGUAAGCAUGGAGAAGGUGCAAGACUGACUCAGCAUCACCCCCACCAGCACCUGGCCUGGCCCCCCAAGUGUGGGAUCCACAACAAAUCCAUGUGUCCCAGGGAGCACACAUGCAGGGUGGGUGUCAGAGCCAUUCUGUGCCUUGGCAGGUGAGUAACAGGGUUUGGGGAGCAAACUUGGGUCAGGUGGGGUGUCAGGCUUGUCUGUGUGCUGCUGGCUCAGCAACUUAGAGCUGGCUGGCAAAACAGUGACCCAGCAGCCUUCUUCCCAGGUGAGAGGAAACAACAGUGAUCUGUCAGAUCACAAAAAGUGAUCACAGAAAGUUUGCAGCGGACAUUUGGGCAAAUGCAGGAAAUCCAGCCACGCUCAUUCGUGCUGUGAGCACCUGGGCAACAGGGAGCUCUCAGGUGCACACCUGUCCCUUUUGCCUGCACUGUUUUUCUUGCAUCCAGAGACAGUAAGGGUGUGGAAAGAGCCUUUCUUAGUCUUCUCUUAUGGCUGCUUAUCCCAACCCACAGCACCUCUCCACCAGCCUUCCCUGUGCCGCACACAUAUCCACAGCCCCUAAAGCAAGCACUUCAAAACUGGAAGUGUAAUCCAAGUUUGCACUGUAAUUCUUCCUAGGUAGCUCAGCCAUUGGUUACCGUGCAGCAAUUGGGAGCUAACAGGUCCAGCAGAGAGCCAUGGUGUUUUCUGGAGGCUUUUCCCAAGCUCCCAGGACAGUUUGGGCUGCUGUCCUGGGUGGCACACAGCCCCACCACAUUGUUAUCUGUCAGAAACUCAGUGGCCCAAAGCUGUGCAGCACAGGCUGUGUGUGCCCUGUGUUGGUACAGUUUCCACAGUGUCCUCCUGUUUCUCAUGUUCCUCCCGUGUACCUGGUCCUGGUGUCCCCAGGAGCCUCAGGCUGCCGACAAAGCCAAGAGGCAAAGUUCAUCUUUGUGUUCUGAGGCAGCACAGAGCCUGGCACAACUAUUCCUGGUCCCUGAGUCAGAGCACAACCAUCUUUGAAAUAAAUAAAAUGAAGAAGGAGAACAUCUCUGGGCCUAUAUUUGACACUUGUAUUCCCACACCACUUGGCUUUAUAUAGACUUACGAAUUGGUAUGGUGGUUAUUUUGACUCAUCUGCUUAGCAAUCAUUUUAUUUUAAUCAAUAUUUAUUUAACUCACCAGCUAGACAAAAGCUCCCUAAUUUCUUCAUCUGAUUUAAUUGCUGUUCCCUGACAGAAUGAAGCUAGACUGGAUAAGACAGUACAAGCUGUGCCAGUCUUCUUUGGUUUGCAUCUCUUUCAGCAAGUCCUGUGACUGUGGCAGAGCCAAGGCACAUCUUACACCUCACAGAGGAAUUGGGACCAUACAUGGCUGUACACCCUGGGACAAAGAGCCAAGAAACACGCCAAAACAAUCAGCAAUAAUUAGCAUAUUGAUUCUCCAUGCAAAUUACCUCUGCAUACAUUGUGAAAUACUUUGCAUUGUCAGAGGACUUCAGAGGAGCCUGGAGUUUCUUACAGGCACCACAAUAAUUAAAUAUGUGUCUUCAGUUGUAACAUUAAAAUACAGUUCUGGGUGAAGGAUCAUAGAAAGAAACAUGCACGUUGUGCAGAUUAAAAUGUAUGGGUUAUGUCUAUCUAACACCCCUACCCCAAAACAGGCACCAUGAAUGAUAUUCCUGAAGGAACUUUCAGACCAUGGAUAUUUCAGGCCUUCUUAGUAGAACAUGUUGCUUUUUAUUUGAAGGAAAUGAUCUGUACCUUGUGUCACCUCGACCUCCUGACAAGGGUGAGGAGUGGCUGCAAGUUGUAGGAUUGAAUCACAAAGCUCAGUCUUAGCCCAGUACUCCACUUGCCUGGAAGGAAAAGUUCACUUUAGCAAAUGCUAAAACACACUGGCUUUCAGAGGAACUAAUUUUUCAAGCUCAGUCACAAGUGCAGGGGAAAAAUGAACUCUCCCAUUUACAUCAGUGGAGUCACACAGUAACUAUGAUCCUGAAGUCAACACGUGGAAAAGUUUAAGUGAAGCAACCUGUAACUUGCUGCCCAGAUUAGUUCAUGCCCAGCCCUCUCUGCCAGCAUUUGAAGUCUUUGUGAAAUGCUAAAGUGUAAAGGGUAGCACUGUCUCUCAAGGCCAAAGUCAACUGAUAUUAGGAAUGGGUACUGUAAUUUUACAACCAUUAACAGCAUUAAUGACCCUGUAAGCCAGGACAGAAAGCUGCCAGAAAGACCCAGAACUGCCUCUGCAAGGAGGAAAAAUUGCCUUGCCUCUACAAGCACACUGCACUGUUGUAAAAAUAAUGUAAAUACCUCAACUGCAGGCUGAGAGGGCAGAGGUGUCUGCAGGGACAGAGACAGAUCCCAUCCAGAGACAAAUGUGGCACCAUGGGGCACCCACCAGGACGCCUAGAUCUGAAUGUAGGUCGAGAUACAUCAGAGCAGAGUGGUGAGUCCUAUAAAGGGAGCUGCUUCACUGAAGUUUUAGGAGCAGGUCACCACCCUCUAAUGGAGGGUCCUGGGGUUCAUUGAGAAGACCAGAGCUCAGAGAUUGUGCCCAUCCCUCUCCCUCUGGCAAUGUCCUUUGUGUGCUCCUCACCUGUGCUGCCACAUGCCCACACUACCACAGCCUCUGGAUGGAAAAACUCCAGCUGCCAGCACAUUCAAGUGCUUCAGGUAAGGCUUGGGAAAGGUCAUGGAAAGACCCAGACCUCACUCCUGAGGGCUCCAGGCAACAGGAGACAAAUUAAUAAAUCUCAUCUUCUCCAAUGGCACUGAGGCCAGCUCAAGAUUUGUUCAAGCUUGGUUUUCUACACAAGCAAGUGGUACGAGGUCAGACACUCCUACAGCAGCUCUUGGAACCAUUGCCUGUUCUUGGUCAAGCACGGCAGGACUGAGGAUCUCUGCAAUCACCAGUUCCUGACAGUUUUCAUGCAGAAGCUGCCCUUUCCUGGUCUGCACAGGAAGGCAUGACCAGAGCAGUUAGGGAUGCUGGCAGAGGACAGGGAAGUGCACAUGGAUUCACUGGGUGUCUGCUCCCCACAGCAGAGGAUCAAGGGACAUGCCUGCUCCAAGGUCAGAUCCUGGUUUCCAAGUCCAGAGCCUGGCUUCCAAGUCCAGAUCCUGGCUUCCAAGCCAGCACACCCAGAAAUGAGCAGAGGUCCCAGCCCUGGGGGGUUGAGUGGCACCAUUUGAAAUAGCUUUCAUUCUGGCCCAAGUGCAAUCUAGUCCCUCCACUCUGUGCCCCAACAAGUCCUGGCUGUCAGCAAAAGCUGCCGUCCUUGAAAACUGCCUGGAAUUGCAGGCUCAGAGGGAAAGGGGAGGCACUGGGUAAAAAACCACCUUGGGUCUCUGAAACACAGAAGCCAUGUCCGAGUCAGUUCAAUAGCCUGUCAUGGACUUAAUAAAAGAUUAAUCAAAUCAUCCACAAUGAAAGCAGAUUUGGCAUCCUUGUCCCUGGGCUGAUGGCAGUGCAGAAUCCUCGCAUGCAGGUUCUUGCAAUUGAUGCUAUUAUUUGGGAAAGGCUUCAAGUACUGUCCUGUGGGGGGUGAUAAAAAACCACCCCAAACCCAAAAGGAUGCAUGGGCAGAAUAGUGAUAGAAAUUUGCACUUUUCCUGCCUAUGAACAAUAAUUCAUGCAGUUAGUGCUUUAUCAGAACUAAUUUAACCCAGUUUUUCAUUUAAACUACAGGAAAGCAAGUUCAAAUAGGUUUCUCUAACAUGAAGGACAUCUUUUAACCCAACUUUUCCUCCUGUUCACCCCACCCCCACCCAAUGCUAUUAAAUGGCUUGAAACAUAACACAAAAAUACAUGUCUUAUCAUAUCAGUUGGCUUCUCUCACUAUAGCAGCCCUUAUCAACAUUCAGCAGCCCUAUUAAUGCAGUCCCCUUCAAUCAGCAUGAAAAAGUAGGGCUCCACAGAUCUCUGAUCCACCCCUCCCAGUAUCAUAGGUCCUUUCUGGAUGCCAAAUGAAGAGCAGGAGCUCUUUUAAUGCCAGCAGUUUGCUCCUUUACCUCUGGCCUGCAUGCCCAUAGUCCCCAGCUUGCUCCACGGCAGCUCCCUGAGCUGCCAGUGUCACAGGAAGCUGUCCUGCCCUGGAUGCAGCUGCUGGAGCCCUGUCCCUGUGGCUGUCCCACUGGGCUCCUUCCAGUGGCAAGGCUGGGAGAGCCCUGUGCUUCUGCCCUUUGUCCAGCACACACCUUUAGGGGAAGGUGUACCUGUGUAAGUAUUGCACAUACACAUACAUUGCACUGCUAAAUGCAAACUGCUCUGAAAAUAUAUCAUAGAUUUGCCUUAAUCCUACACUACAUUCUUGAGAGAUGUGGUGGAAUAAAAUGCUAGAAAACCAUCCCUCCAUGAACUGCCAGGAUUUUUGCAGAUAAGAACUGUAGAGACCCAAACCUACAGAGACUACUGCAAGAAGCAGAGCUUCAGGAGUCAAAAUGUUCAGGAACUGGGAACUGGACACCCUCAAUGGGCACUAAAUUUGAGUUGAAUUAAAUCCUACUUACAAACCAGAGAAACCCAGAGUUUGGCAUCUAUACCUCUGUUCCUUUUAGUAGCAGCUUGUUUACAUGUUGUAGUCCUCAUGGGAUAUAUUGGCAAGCCUUUUACUAACAUUUUCCCUUGAGUUAUUUUCAUUUCAUGGGCGGUUGAAUUUAAUUUGAGAUGCCCAAAAAACUACAAAAUAAUGUAAAAAAGUGUUUUCAAAGUUUUUUGCAUCUCUCCUAUUCUCCCCCAUGGAACUGGGGUGUCCUUGGGAUAUUAUCCUGGACCUUAGCCAACAGACUGGGAAAUAGGAUUGGCAAAAACAGAGGAAGGAUGUUGCGACACACCAGCUGAAUCUUUUCCCUUGGGGUUUUGAGUUUGGUCUGGCCAGAGAGGUUGGCAGGAGGUGAAGGGGACAACCUCUCCACUUUUCCUCCACAUGAAGGCAGGUUUGCCAGGAGGAAGCUUGUUUUCUGCAAAUGCCUCUUGGGCAGAGUUUGCACCAGGCUUGAGAGGUUACUUGGGGUCCACAGGACACCCCAGGGCUGUGUUUUUCCCCUGAGGCUUCAUGGCCCUCUUUCAGGGCAUGCAGGUCAGGUAGGGAGACACAAUCUCUGCAGACAGCUUGUGUUGCAAGACAGAAACUGCAAUGCAUGGUUG